UCAUCUGGAAAGAUGAAUCAAAGAAGGUAAUAAUCCUGUAGUCGAAAAUGUUGUCUCUCUUGAGUGGAUCCUGAGUACGACGGAGCACGUGAAAUUCCGUCGGAAUCUGGGAGGACCAUCUCCUAAGGCUAAAUACUCUCUAGUGACCGAUAGUGAACCAGUACCGUGAGGGAAAGGUGAAAAGCACCCCGGAAGGGGAGUGAAAUAGAACCUGAAACCGUGUGCUUACAAGUAGUCAGAGCCCGUUAAUGGGUGAUGGCGUGCCUUUUGUAGAAUGAACCGGCGAGUUACGAUUUGAUGCAAGGUUAAGCAGUAAAUGUGGAGCCGUAGCGAAAGCGAGUCUGAAUAGGGCGUUUAGUAUUUGGUCGUAGACCCGAAACCAGGUGAUCUACCCUUGGUCAGGUUGAAGUUCAGGUAACACUGAAUGGAGGACCGAACCGACUUACGUUGAAAAGUGAGCGGAUGAACUGAGGGUAGCGGAGAAAUUCCAAUCGAACCUGGAGAU
rnacentral:rRNA from 1 species